rnacentral:rRNA from 1 species
GGGGAAUUGUUCGCAAUGGGCGCAAGCCUGACGACGCAACGCCGCGUGGAGGAUGAAGAUCUUCGGGUCGUAAACUCCUUUCGAUCGAGACGACUGGCUUCCGGGUGAACAGCCCGGGAGAAUGACGGUACCGAGAGAAGAAGCCCCGGCUAACUACGUGCCAGCAGCCGCGGUAAUACGUAGGGGGCAAGCGUUGUCCGGAAUCAUUGGGCGUAAAGAGCGUGUAGGCGGCCCGGUAAGUCCGCUGUGAAAGUCCAGGGCUCAACCCUGGAAAGCCGGUGGAUACUGUCGGGCUCGAGUUCGGAAGAGGUGAGUGGAAUUCCUGGUGUAGCGGUGAAAUGCGCAGAUAUCAGGAGGAACACCAAUGGCGAAGGCAGCUCACUGGGACGAUACUGACGCUGAGACGCGAAAGCGUGGGGAGCAAA